ACCUGGGACGGCGGCCCCCGCGCGGGCUGGGGCGGGGAGGCUCCCGCAGCCCCGGGCCGCCCCCCGCGACCCCCCGCGAGCCUGUCCGGGCGGGGGGCGCUGCAGCCCCGGGGCCCCUCCGGCCCGGCGGCGGGGAGCCGGUGAAUGCCUUUUGGUUCCCGCCCAGGGACGGUAGACUCCGUCGGCUCGCGGGGCAGCCGGGACGCUCCCUCCCGCGCUCUCCUCCCCCGUCCGUUUGCAGGGAGGUGCUCCCUUCGGGAGGCGGGGAACGCGGGCUGGGCUGCCGCUCCUCCUGCUAUGAUGCCUGGGCAGAUUCCAGACCCUUCCGUGACUGCGGGCUCUCUGCCAGGGCUUGGCCCCCUGACCGGACUCCCCAGCUCGGCUCUGACUGCAGAGGAGCUGAAAUACGCCGACAUCCGCAACAUUGGGGCCAUGAUCGCCCCCUUGCACUUCCUGGAGGUGAAGCUGGGCAAGAGGCCCCAACCCGUGAAAAGUGAGGUCCACUGGCAGCCUGGACUCAGAGUUGGGAAAGUGGGUCAUCUCGCCGGUGAGCUCCGCUGGCUGAACAGCGCUGGAGCCAGCCAAGCUGCUCUCCCUUCUACCACGUCCCCAAGACACAAGACCACUUGGCCUGAGCUAGAUGAAGAAGAGGAGCGGAGGAAAAGACGCCGGGAGAAGAACAAAGUGGCAGCAGCCCGAUGCCGGAACAAGAAGAAGGAGCGGACGGAGUUUCUGCAGCGGAAUUCAACUGCUGGCCUUAUACUCAGGGCCUGAUGCUAAUAGGACCCGCAGAGCGGGACGUGGCCCGCGCUCUGGAUGCCCCAGUGAGGCGCGCGAGCACCAGCCCUUGGGAAAGAAGCCCUGUGAGUGAUCCGGCGCCUGCAGCGUGGGUGGAGUUUUUAUUGGUCCUGUGUCCAGGCGUUCCAAAGCACCCCCUUCAAGAUGAAUGACAGGGCCUGUGGAGAACUGCUCUGCAGAUGUGAUCGGAAGCCCUGAAGAGUCUGGGCCACCAUCUCCUCCUCAGAAUCAGCCAGAUGUGUAGCGGUGGCCUGAGUCACAGCCACAGCUGAUAGUCCCUGUGCUGGGUGAUUCAGAUCAGGAAACCUCAGGAGCAACAGCCUAGACUUCUAGAAAACCCUGUGCCUGGUGAUUCCCAGUUUGAAUUCCUGGAUGAGCGUACCCCUGAGACAGGGCUUUUUUUCUUUUUCUGAGAAGGUAACUGAAAUUUGGACCUUAUGGCCUGAGCGCGGUCAACAGAAAAGUGCAGAACUCACCAAGGCUGAUCUCUUCCUGUGGACCUCCCCUUUUCUUUGCCUCUGGCCCAAGAGUGAGGGCUUUCUGAGGCACUGGAACCUUCUCUUGUCCUUGGGGCUGAGCUCCUUCCAGAUGAAAUGCCUUACGAGGGCUCGCAGAGGACAACCCCCAAGCUUUAAACAAGGCCACAAUGACACCAGCAUAACCAACGUGGGAGGAAUAGCACACUGUGCUAAAUUCUUUAUAGUCCUUUUCUCCUCUAACUCCCCCUGCAAACCCACGGGAGUAGGGGUGCUGCUCUUAGGAUCCCUACUCCCCAGACUGGAAAUGAGCCCAGGAGAACCUUCCUCCAUUAGCAGUUAUGUCAAUGCAGACCCCAGGUAGUGAGGAUUCCCAACCCCAGCGGCUCUCCCAACAGUAGAAAGCUCCAAACACUGGAUGUUAGAUCCCCGACUUCUGUUGCCAUGUCUUCACAAGCUGCUGUCCUCUUAGGUUCUGCUCACCAAGCCAAGACUAAAACAAGUCAGGGGAAAAAGGGAGGCGUGAUGGUAUUUACUCAGAACUGUAGGACAUAAAAUAGUUUUAUAAAUAAAUACUUUAAAUGGUAAAAAAUUUAAAAAAUUAUUGCUUUGUUGAGGUUUAAUUGAUACACAAAAAUGCACAUAAUUAAUGUAUACAUUUGGAUGAGUUAGCACAUAUGUAUACACUGCGUGAGAUCAGUAUUGCAAUCAAGGUAAUAAACCUAUUUGU